rnacentral:rRNA from 1 species
AAUGAACGCUGGCGGCAUGCCUAACACAUGCAAGUCGAACGAAACCUUCCGGUCUUGUUUCGCUCGUCUGCUUACCGCGUGGGAACCUGCCCUUAGGUUCUGUAUAACUCCCUGCAAGGUAUGCUUAUACCGGUUAAUGUCUUCCCACCAAAGAUUUAUCGCUUUUGGAUGGGCCCGCGUUGGAUUAGCUAGUUGGUAGGGUAAAAGCCUACCCAGGUGACGAUCCAUAGCUGGUCUGAGAGGAUGAUCAGCCACACUGGGACUGAGACACGGCCCAGACUGCUACGGGAGGGAGCAGUGGGGAAUAAUGGACAAUAGGCGAAAGCAUGAACCAGCAGUGCGGGGUGAGGGAUGAAGGGCUUAGGGUUGUAAAGCUCUUGUACCAGGGAUGAUAAUGACAGUACCGGGAGAAGAAGCACCGGCUAACUACGUG